UGCACGUUGGUGCAGUGGGUAGCACUGCAAGAAGGUCCUGGGUUCAACUCCCGGCCGGGGGUCUUUCUGCAU